rnacentral:rRNA from 1 species
UACGAAGGGUGCAAGCGUUGUUCGGAAUGACUGGGCGUAAAGGGUUCGUAGGCGGGAGGACAAGUUCAGUGUGAAAUCCCCAGGCUUAACCUGGGACGUGCAUUGAAAACUGUCUUUCUUGAGUGUUGGAGAGGGUGGUGGAAUUGCUGGUGUAGGAGUGACAUCCGUAGAGAUCAGCAGGAACACCGGAGGCGAAGGCGACCACCUGGCCAAACACUGACGCUGAGGAACGAAAGCGUGGGGAGCAAACAGG